GACACUUGCCAGAAAACUUUUUUUUUUUUUUUAAGCAUCCAAUCUUACAAAAAGAUCCACGCCAAGUGAUCAAACAUUAGUCACUUAAUGGUCAACAUCGCUACACAUCAAACGCUAGAAACAAUGGCAAAACUUCAAAGAGCCUUCGAGAGACCUGGAGCUGUGCAAGUCAUAGUAAAAUCACCUCCCUGGUCUCUUUUCAAACAGAGCUAAUUGUUGAUUUACCUUUAAGUCUAUCUAAACAAACAACAACAACAACAAAAAGAACCUUACAAAUUUUAUUUCAUCAAACGUUCUUUAAGAGACUCAGCAGUAGGCAGACAAACCACAGUUGUCCAUUAUGCAAAAUGAGAAGCUUGCACUUCCUUGACCAUUAAAACUUAUUUCAGCUUCUCCAAAAGAAAGUGUUAACUAAUAAAGAUCACUCCUAACCAGUAAUAUUCCAAAUUUAAGUCCUGCAAUUCUUGAGCCUACAUAAUGAAAAUACCAAUUGUCACAACUGCCACAAACAUCUCGCAAUAAAAAAAAAUCAGAACCAUACCUUAUUGCGAUAUGUGAUAAAUAACUGUAAACAUGCAGCAGUCUCUCUCAUGACAAUACUAAUUAUCACAGCGGUAUAAAUAGCAGAGGGGAAUGAAUCAUUCUCUGAUAUGUGCAGAAGGUACACAAGCAGAAAUCUUGGUGACUGAUCACAGGCUGCUGCCUGCGAUUGUUGCUGCCCUCUCUUUGUUUUCAGACAAAUAAACUGCACUAAACCCAAAAGCUGCAAACACGGGCACCUUUCACACCAUCAUAUUUUCCAACUUAUUAAAACUUGCUCAGUAUCUGAUGUUGACUGUCAUUUAGAGAGGAACUGGUGUAAGAGGAAGAAGUGGGAAAUUUGCUG